rnacentral:SRP_RNA from 1 species
GCCGGGUUCAGUGGCGGCGCCUGUAAUCCAAGCUACUGGGAGGCUGAGGCUGGCGGAUCGCUGGAGCUCAGGGCUUCUUCUGGGCUGCAGUGGACUAUGUCGAUCGGGUGUCCGCACUAAGUUCGUUAUCGAUAUGGUGCUCCUGGGGGAGCUCGGGACCACCAGGUCGUCUAAGGAGGGGUGAACCGGCCCAGGUCGGAGACGGAGCAGGUCAAAGGCCCCGUGUCGAUCAGUAGCCUAGUUGGGUCGCGCCUGUGAGUAGACACUGCAGUGCAGCCUGAGUGAUACAGCGAGACUCAGACUUU